rnacentral:rRNA from 1 species
UGUAUAAUGGGUCAGCGACUUAUAUUCUGUAGCAAGGUUAACCGAAUAGGGGAGCCGAAGGGAAACCGAGUCUUAACUGGGCGUUAAGUUGCAGGGUAUAGACCCGAAACCCGGUGAUCUAGCCAUGGGCAGGUUGAAGGUUGGGUAACACUAACUGGAGGACCGAACCGACUAAUGUUGAAAAAUUAGCGGAUGACUUGUGGCUGGGGGUGAAAGGCCAAUCAAACCGGGAGAUAGCUGGUUCUCCCCGAAAGCUAUUUAGGUAGCGCCUCGUGAAUUCAUCUCCGGGGGUAGAGCACUGUUUCGGCAAGGGGGUCAUCCCGACUUACCAACCCGAUGCAAACUGCGAAUACCGGAGAAUGUUAUCACGGGAGACACACGGCGGGUGCUAACGUCCGUCGUGAAGAGGGAAACAACCCAGACCGCCAGCUAAGGUCCCAAAGUCAUGGUUAAGUGGGAAACGAUGUGGGAAGGCCCAGACAGCCAGGAUGUUGGCUUAGAAGCAGCCAUCAUUUAAAGAAAGCGUAAUAGCUCACUGGUCGAGUCGGCCUGCGCGGAAGAUGUAACGGGGCUAAACCAUGCACCGA